UACAGAGGUCUCGAGCGUUGUUCGGAUUCAUUGGGCGUAAAGGGCGCGUAGGCUGCGGGGUAAGUCAGGUGUGAAAUCUCAGAGCUCAACUCUGAAAUUGCACUUGAUACUGCUCUGCUAGAGGACUGGAGAGGAGAUUGGAAUUCACGGUGUAGCAGUGAAAUGCGUAGAUAUCGUGAGGAAGACCGGUGGCGAAGGCGGAUCUCUGGACAGUUCCUGACGCUGAGGCGCGAAGGCCAGGGGGAGCAAACGGGG
rnacentral:rRNA from 1 species